UGAGGAAUAUUGGUCAAUGGGCGUAAGCCUGAACCAGCCAAGUCGCGUGAGGGAUGAAGGUUCUAUGGAUCGUAAACCUCUUUUAUAAGGGAAUAAAGUGCGGGACGUGUCCCGUUUUGUAUGUACCUUAUGAAUAAGGAUCGGCUAACUCCGUGCCAGCAGCCGCGGUAAUACGGAGGAUCCGAGCGUUAUCCGGAUUUAUUGGGUUUAAAGGGUGCGUAGGCGGCCUUUUAAGUCAGCGGUGAAAGUCUGUGGCUCAACCAUAGAAUUGCCGUUGAAACUGGGGGGCUUGAGUAUGUUUGAGGCAGGCGGAAUGCGUGGUGUAGCGGUGAAAUGCAUAGAUAUCACGCAGAACCCCGAUUGCGAAGGCAGCCUGCCAAGCCAUUACUGACGCUGAUGCACGAAAGCGUGGGGAUCAAACAGGAUUAGAUACCCUGGUAGUCCACGCAGUAAACGAUGAUCACUAGCUGUUUGCGAUACACUGUAAGCGGCACAGCGAAAGCGUUAAGUGAUCCACCUGGGGAGUACGCCGGCAACGGUGAAACUCAAAGGAAUUGACGGGGGCCCGCACAAGCGGAGGAACAUGUGGUUUAAUUCGAUGAUACGCGAGGAACCUUACCCGGGUUUGAACGCAUUUCGACAGCUCUGGAAACAGAGUCUCUAGCGAUAGCGAUUUGCGAGGUGCUGCAUGGUUGUCGUCAGCUCGUGCCGUGAGGUGUCGGCUUAAGUGCCAUAACGAGCGCAACCCUUGCCACUAGUUACUAACAGGUAAAGCUGAGGACUCUGGUGGGACUGCCAGCGUAAGCUGCGAGGAAGGCGGGGAUGACGUCAAAUCAGCACGGCCCUUACAUCCGGGGCGACACACGUGUUACAAUGGCGUGGACAAAGGGAGGCCACCUGGCGACAGGGAGCGAAUCCCCAAACCACGUCUCAGUUCGGAUCGGAGUCUGCAACCCGACUCCGUGAAGCUGGAUUCGCUAGUAAUCGCGCAUCAGCCAUGGCGCGGUGAAUACGUUCCC
rnacentral:rRNA from 1 species